UCUGUUUCCAGUCCAGAUUUCUAGAAAUGAAACUCUGGGCCGCGCUGACGAGCGUCCGCGUUUGUCUGCGACAGUAGCAGAGCCGCCCUGGCGAGCGUCCGCGCUUGUCUGCGACUGUAGCAGAGCCGCCCUGGCCUCCGCAGCUCUUCAGCCCGGUGUCAGGCCCCAGGGGCCCAAGCGGCUGCCGCCGCGGCUCUCCGUCCCCCUCCUCCGGAGCACGGGUCCCCUGGCAGGGGGGUGCAGAACGACCCCAGAGCAGGCUCUGCCCGAAGGUGCAGCGGCGAACAGGCCACAGAGACGCUCGAGGCUGCAGUCCAGCCUUCGGAGGACAGGGCUCGG
rnacentral:lncRNA from 1 species